CAUAAUCAAUAGUCUUUUAAUUGGAGACUGGAAUGAACGGCUAGAUAAAAAGUUUACUGUCUAUAUAAUAAAUCUUGAAUUUUACUUUUAAGUGAAAAGGCUUAAAUAUAUUAAAGUGACGAUAAGACCCUAUAAAACUUUAUAAUAAAUUAUGAUUAUCUUAAAUUUUAAAUCAAAAUAUAUUUCAUAUAUUACUAUUUAGUUGGGGCGACUGAGAUAUAAAAAAUCUGUCUUUAGUAAAAAAUACUUAUAAUUAGAUCAAGAUCCUUUAUUAAGGAUUAAAAGGCUAAGUUACUUUAGGGAUAACAGCGUGAUUUUUCUUAAGAGUUCUUAUCGACAGAAUAAGUUGCGACCUCGAUGUUGAAUUAAAUUUUCUUUUAGGUGCAGGAGUUUAAAAAGUAGGUCUGUUCGACCUUUAAAAAUUU
rnacentral:rRNA from 1 species